UACGGGGGGAGCAAGCGUUGUUCGGAUUUACUGGGCGUAAAGGGCGCGUAGGCGGCACCGCAAGUCGACUGUGAAAUCUCCGGGCUUAACCCGGAAAGGUCAGCCGAUACUGCGGGGGCUAGGAGUGCAGAAAGGGGGCAACUGGGAAUUUCUCGGUGUAGCGGUGAAAUGCGUAGAUAUCGAGAGGAACACCUGCGGCAAGCGGGUUGCU
rnacentral:rRNA from 1 species